AACGAACGCUGGCGGCAGGCUUAACACAUGCAAGUCGAGCGCCCAGCAAUGGGAGCGGCAGACGGGUGAGUAACACGUGGGGAUGUGCCCAAAGGUACGGAAUAGCUCCGGGAAACUGGAAUUAAUACCGUAUGUGCCCUUCGGGGGAAAGAUUUAUCGCCUUUGGAUCAACCCGCGUCUGAUUAGCUAGUUGGUGAGGUAAAGGCUCACCAAGGCGACGAUCAGUAGCUGGUCUGAGAGGAUGAUCAGCCACACUGGGACUGAGACACGGCCCAGACUCCUACGGGAGGCAGCAGUGGGGAAUAUUGGACAAUGGGCGCAAGCCUGAUCCAGCCAUGCCGCGUGAGUGAUGAAGGCCUUAGGGUUGUAAAGCUCUUUCGCCGGUGAAGAUAAUGACGGUAACCGGAGAAGAAGCCCCGGCUAACUUCGUGCCAGCAGCCGCCGUAAGAC
rnacentral:rRNA from 1 species